UACGAAGGGGGCGAGCGUUGUUCGGAAUUACUGGGCGUAAAGCGUGCGCAGGCGGUCUUCCAAGUCAGUGGUGAAAGCCCGGAGCUCAACUCCGGAACUGCCAUUGAAACUGUGAGGCUUGAGGACGAGAGAGGUGAGUGGAAUUCCCAGUGUAGAGGUGAAAUUCGUAGAUAUUGGGAAGAACACCGGUGGCGAAGGCGGCUCACUGGCUCGUUUCUGACGCUCAUGCACGACAGCGUGGGGAUCAAACAGG
rnacentral:rRNA from 1 species